rnacentral:misc_RNA from 1 species
UUAAGUUCAGCGGGUAUCCCUACCUGAUUCGAGGAGUUCACGUGUCUUGCUCUCUCCCCCGCCCGACAGACGGGCCAGGGCUGGCAGCCUCGCCUCGCACCAGCGCCAAUGCGUCAUAUCACGCUCGGCCACGCGGCAGGCGUCCGUCCCAUGGAUCCAGCGCGGUGGCCGCCUCCUCGGGCACGCCACCGCAGCCAUGA